rnacentral:rRNA from 1 species
UACGGAGGGUGCAAGCGUUUAUCCGGAUUCACUGGGUUUAAAGGGUGCGUAGGAGGGCAGGUAAGUCAGUGGUGAAAUCUCCGGGCUUAACUCGGAAACUGCCGUUGAUACUAUCUGUCUUGAAUAUUGUGGAGGUGAGGCGGAAUAUGUCAUGUAGCGGUGAAAUGCUUAGAUAUGACAUAGAACACCAAUUGCGAAGGCAGCUCGCUACACAUAUAUUGACUCUGAGGCACGAAAGCGUGGGGAUCAAACAGG